CUUAGGAGAUUUCUCCGCAGUGUGGACGGGUGUCAGGAUUUGCAGGCGAGCAAGGGCAGAGAGGAGAAAUCGUACAGUGCAAUGAGAACCAUAAAAGCAGAAGAAAAUUUCUGUGGGAUUGAGGGAUGAAAGUGCAGGCUUCUUUGCUUUUGACAGAGAUUUCUGCAACAGCACUUAAGGCCAACCCCUACAUGACUGCUCUUUCUUCUUUUCUUAUUCACUUACGAGAAAAAUUUUUGGUUUGUUUUUGUAUUUAUGCGUGGAGGAACUGAAGCUUGGAGAACAAGAGUGAAUUCUGGCCCAAGGUCACACAGAUGGAUGGGAGAAGAGAGAAAACAGAAAAGACAACAGAAAAAUAAAAAAUGGGACAAGCAACCCUUGGAGGAAAGUACACCUGGUAUCAUCACCAUCUAACAGAUAACAAAAAUGGAGCAUUGGAGCAGUUAGGAGUUGGACCGAGUAAAUGAAAUUUAUUGCCAACAGAGCUCACAUUCAUGGACCUACACUGAUAGAACUUGGAGGAUUCCACAUCAAGCCUUCUUCAUAGUAAUUGAUGAAGAAAUUGGGGUCCAAAGAGCCAAGUCGUCAUUGGGACUGUAGACUGGGAAACCGAGCCUUGGUAGAACUCUUCAAAGUUGCUGAUGUGCCUUUCCGUACUCCAGGAGUGUAUGCCAUAAAAGGGUCCCAGUAAGAGUCAUCUUAAAGGUAUUCACCAAGAGAAUCAUAUGAAUCCAAGACCCACCCACAUGUGGUCCAAGAAAAGCCCAAAGCCUGGGAGGCAGAGAGUCCAUAUGACCAGCCAGAUGCUGCCUUGUCUGCCUCAGAGGAACUGCCCUUACCAUGUCUAACAGGAAGAACUUCUAGGAAACCACCAAACGCCUAUAAAAAAGGGGGUCAACCACUGUGCAACCACCACAUAGAAGUUACGUGACUCACCUUUCAUUCAGUACCUCCCUUCAAGGAAAGCCCUGUCUCCUUGUCCUUGGGCUGGGAUCACACAAAGUUCUUGGGAUGACCCUGGCUCUCCCGCGCCAGCCGCUCUGCUGCCAAGUGCAAGCAUUCGCUCCCAGAUGCUUCGCCCAGUUCUUUGCAAAUGUCAUCCAAUCAGCGUCCAGGUGUUCACGGCUCAUCACUGGCUUACUGCUCUGGUCUACAUACCUUGGGACAUUACUGUUUAUGCAGGUAUAAAAAAAAAGAAAAACAAAAGAAAGAAAGAACGGCAGCAUCACAGAAUGUGAAUCAGAAUAUUAGUCUGUGGUACUGGGAGAGAAAAAGAAGAUUCCCCAGAGAGGAUGAAGACCAAACAGACUGCAGACCUGCCAUCUCUCUACACUGCACUUGGAUUGGCCAUUGGCUGUAUGCACCCGGGAAAAAAAUUCAGAGGACCAUGCUGUUGUGAUAGCUGACCUAAAGAAGACAUUCUGGAGAGCACAUGAGUUUGAUUUUUACAAAUGACUUAAUAAUCUGGGGGACCAAGCCAGGGCUGCAGAGGCUGGAAGAGCCCCCGCCAGCGGUGAGCAGAGGAGGAGGAGACCCAGAGUCAGGGGUGGUAGGGGAACGGGGUUUCCCAGGCCUCUUUUCACAGCAAUUAGAGGUCUGUGUUCUCCUUGAGGCAGGGGCGUAACUCCCACAAGUGUUAAUGAGAUUUAACGAAGAGAAGGCGAGACUCCAGAGCUGCAUUUCCAGUCGGGGCUUCCACAGCAGCAGAAGAGGACAGAGUUCUGCUGCUUCCAGCCGGACCUGGCAGACAGUCAUGGAAGCCUGGACCUUAGCAUGUUGCCUUCAUUAGCAAUUCCACACUCCAGCCGGCAUCGUGUGAAGAGUCCCCAACCUGUGGUCGCCUAGCCCCUUCUACGAACCUUGUGAAGAGAAGCUGCCUGUGCCUUGGGCUAGAAAGUUCUCUCACAGUCUAUCCAGUGCUUAAGCUCGCCUGCCUAGGUUUACAUCCCAGCUCUGCUGAGUUGCCAGCUAAGCCUAGUUUCCUCCUCCAAAAAAUGGAGAUAAUAAAUGGCACCUACUUCACUUGCGGAUCUAAUGAAAGUCAAGAGCUUAGCACAAUGUUUGACCAUAUAAAGUACCUCUGAGUGAUGAUGAUGAUGAAUUUGGGCCUAGAAUUGACAUCUUAGUCAUAUGAGGCAGAACCUAGUUCUAAGGAAACACACCUCAGUGCCAUGAUAGAAACAUUUCAUGAUGAAAACCUAAGCAGUUGUGCAAUGAAAAUCCCUGUCAUUUACAACAAUUCCCCCACCCGCCACGUACUUGGGAUAAAUUAGAACCAGGAUGGGCCAAGUUUCUCGUCUCGCCUCCUCUUUUCCUCAGUGGCAACCGUGUGAUUUAUGGCUCUGACGGGAGAGCCAACCAAACUCAGUUGUUUCAGCUGACUGUCCCCGUGAGUUUUCAGGUUGAUGUGAAAUCCAAUGGGGUGUGAACUGAAACCCAAGAUCUCCUGAAAGCCCCAUGCACUAAGCUCAGUAAGGGACCAAACCAAACCAAACCAAAGCUCUCUCCCUCUUGCCUGGCACUCCUGGAGCUCACAAAAAGCCUGCCACUUGUGAGCCUGUGUGCCUGGAAGGGUCUGCUGCACCUGGCUGGGGGCCCUGGGCCGUUGUUUUCCUGGCAGCAGCAAGGAGGCAGGUCCUCUGCUCACUCCUGGAGCUGGCCCCAUACCAGCGACCUCAGAAACCAGGCAGGCUUUUGUCCUGGGGUCUCCUAGGGGUUGGUUACACAGAGAGAGUGAGGCUUUGUUGGAAGACUCUCAGAGGCCUGGCCAGGUUUUCCUCUCACAGCCAAGAAGCAGGUUCUAGUUCUUUCCAAACCCUUGAUACCUUCUAAACUGAAAAGCGGCUGCCCACUCAGAAUUUGGGCUAGGGCAUGGAGAUGCUAAAAACCUCAUCUUUUAAAAGGGAAUUGUUACUGUCUCUCUGAAAAGACUGCAGGGUUUCUAGGAGAUUCUGAAAUGAUGUAUACAGCUAGAGUCUAAAAAGGUGGAAGGAGAGGUUUCUGGGUAGGGGGUUAAAAGUGUAAGCUCUGGAGGCAGGCAGACCUGGGAGCAAGUCCCAGCUCAUACUCUUCAUAGCUGAGUGACCUUGAGAAAGUCACUCAAUCCCUCUGAGGUUCUCUUUGUUCUUUUGCUCCCUGCUCACUCUUCAUCUUACCCUGUCUAGCCCAACGUUUCUGGUAGUUCAUGUUCCAGUCAGAAGAAAAGACCAGUGAGAACUGGGAUUUAUAAUAAUUACAAUCAUCAAAAUUAACUGAGUACAGUGCUCAGCAAUUUAUAUCAAUUUCAUGUAAUCCUCAGAACCCCUUUAUAAGGUAGGCAUUGCACUGAUUCACAUUUUACCAGUGAGGAAAUAGAAGUUUAGGAAGGUUGCCAAAAACUUAGAAUGACCUUUCUAAAAUAUGUCUGGUUCUAUUAGUCUUUGGUUUAAAAUCUUACCAUGGAUUUAUCUUCAGGAUAAAAUAAAAUUCUUUAACACAGAAAAAAGGACCCUUCCAUGCUGUGAGCCUUCAGGAUUCAGUGGUUAACCAGUAUCAUCUUUCUAACUUCCUGACCUGCAAGUCUCCCUCUGACCACACUGAGCUUUCACCCUUCCCUAGCUGGCUGAGGUGUUCUUGCACCUCCAAGAAUCUGCACACAAUCUUUUCUUCUUCCUUCGUAUCCUUCUGGAUCUGGCUAACUCUGACUAUCCUUCAAGACAUGGUUGGGUAUCCCUUUGUCUGGAGAAUAACCUGUAUGCCCCCAAAGAUGGGGAUAAACACCCUUUCUAGGUGAUCUGGUAGUUUCUGAGUCUGCUUCUAACAAGGUUAACUCCAAAUUCCUCAGCCCAAGACUGAAGGGAACUCCUUUCACUGCCUUUACCCUGGACUCUCGCCCGUGCGGCUCUCUGGCAGCAGGAAGUCCAAGAUGCCCAUGGACUCUUAGCAAGCCAUUCACAGUCUUCAUUUAGGGAAUUUUAGUAGAGUCUGCUGAAUUUGUCUUAAAUAGGCUGACGACAAUGAUUUUUUAAAAUGUAUACAAUCAUGCACUGCAUAACAACUUUUCAGUCAACAACAGAUCAAAUAUAUGAUGGUGAUCCCAGGACCUGAAAAUAUCCUAUUGUCUGGUGACAUUAUAGCCAUCAGCAUGUGGUAGAGCAACACAUUACUCACUUGUUUGCCAGUUGUAAAAAAGAAUAGCACAUACAAUUACAUACAGUACGUAAUACUUGAUAAUAAUAAAUGACUAUGUUACUGCUUUGUGUAUUUACUGUACUAUAUUUUUCACAGUUAUUUUAGGGUGUACUCCUAUUUAUUAAAAAAAAUGUUAACUAUAAAAAGCCUCAGGCAGGUUCUUCAGGAGGUGUUCCAGAAGAAGGCAUUGUUAUCAUACGAGGUGACAGCUCCAUGCGUGUUAUUUUCCCUGAAGAACUUCCAGUGGGACAAAAUGUAGAGGUGGAAGACAAUUAUAUUGAUGCUCCUGACCCUGUGUAGGCUAAUGUGCAUGUUUGUGUCUUGGUUUCUAACAAAAAAGUCUAAAAAGCAAAAAAUAUUAAAAAUUUUAAAAAGAAAAAAGGUUACAGAAUAACGAUAUAAAAAUAUUUUCGUAUAGCUAUACAAUAUAUUUGUGUUUUAAGCUAAGUGUUAUUACAAAAAGUCAAAAUUUUAAAAAUUACAGCAUUUAUAAAGUAAAAACCUUUAUAGUAACAAAGGUUAAUUUAUUAUUGAAGAAAAAUUGUUUAU